GUGGCAAAGCCUUGCACGUGUGAGGUCCUUUGCAGGUGGAGCAGGAAGGAGGAGACCCUCGGGUUUAAAAUCAUUGGCGGGGGCGCAGGCUUGCAUGGAAUAAAAAGAUUGAGCCGGAUGGGGAGAUGAGAGCAGCAACAAUGAAACAUUCCCAGUUCUGAAAUCGAUUUUUCUAAAGGUCGAAUUUAAUCCUGAGUCCACUGACUGUAAAGAGGUAAUUCUAGUGCACUAGCUUGAUUCUUUGGGGAAAGUUGCCACCCUCUAAACCUGAGAACGUGAUGAACCAGAGCUAAGAUUGGUGCUUCACCUGCACCCACCUGAACAGUUCCAGGCUAACAGCAAGAUUGAAGCCUUCAUUCUGUAUCUGCCUUUCCCCUUGUGUGGAUUGUUCUGUCUCUUCCUGCUGUGUUGAAUCUUGCACUUGAACUGGAGUGAGAAGUGGAGGUGUCACUAAUGUGCAAAUACAACUCUUCAAGGGCCUGCAGGCGGCUACGCCGUUCGUUAUGUUAAUACUGGGUUUCUCUACGCACAGCCUUCAUAUUUUACGGCAUGACCUGCUAUUUCUGUGUACGAAUACUUACAAUUGAAGUCUCUAGGAAUGUCUGUACACCGGGGUCUGAUGCCUUUGCCUGUUCCUACGAUGUUUGCUAUGUGAAAACACCAACUGCUCUUAGGAGUCCUCUGAUCGUGAAGAUUUACUCCAGCCACGGUGUCCUGUGAAAAAUCCCCCUACAAAAUCUCUGGGAGCUGCUGUUUUUGGCUAGGACUCUGGGCUGAACCUAAUCCUGGGAAUGUAGGCCAGUCAGUGCAACAGCAGGUCCCGUCUUCCCGCAACUGCAUUUGAAAGGCAAAGACAAGGAUCAUGCAGAGAUAUCGUUAUCUCUCUUUAACAUCCUAAUGGAAUACAUGGCUUGCUAACUUUGAUCAUCUGAUUUGGGCUGAAUAUCA